rnacentral:rRNA from 1 species
UACGUAGGGUGCAAGCGUUAAUCGGAAUACUGGCGUAAAGCGUGCGCAGGCGGUGAUGUAAGACAGGUGUGAAAUCCCCGGGCUUAACCUGGGAACUGCAUUUGUGACUGCAUCGCUGGAGUGCGGCAGAGGGGGAUGGAAUUCCGCGUGUAGCAGUGAAAUGCGUAGAUAUGCGGAGGAACACCGAUGGCGAAAGGCAAUCCC